rnacentral:rRNA from 1 species
AGUCGACGGUAACAGGAAGAAGCUUGCUUCUUUGCUGACGAGUGGCGGACGGGUGAGUAAUGUCUGGGAAACUGCCUGAUGGAGGGGGAUAACUACUGGAAACGGUAGCUAAUACCACAUAACGUCGCAAGACCAAAGAGGGGGACCUUCGGGCCUCUUGCCAUCGGAUGUGCCCAGAUGGGAUUAGCUAGUAGGUGGGGUAACGGCUCACCUAGGCGACGAUCCCUAGCUGGUCUGAGAGGAUGACCAGCCACACUGGAACUGAGACACGGUCCAGACUCCUACGGGAGGCAGCAGUGGGGAAUAUUGCACAAUGGGCGCAAGCCUGAUGCAGCCAUGCCGCGUGUAUGAAGAAGGCCUUCGGGUUGUAAAGUACUUUCAGCGGGGAGGAAGGGAGUAAAGUUAAUACCUUUGCUCAUUGACGUUACCCGCAGAAGAAGCACCGGCUAACUCCGUGCCAGCAGCCGCGGUAAUACGGAGGGUGCAAGCGUUAAUCGGAAUUACUGGGCGUAAAGCGCACGCAGGCGGUUUGUUAAGUCAGAUGUGAAAUCCCCGGGCUCAACCUGGGAACUGCAUCUGAUACUGGCAAGCUUGAGUCUCGUAGAGGGGGGUAGAAUUCCAGGUGUAGCGGUGAAAUGCGUAGAGAUCUGGAGGAAUACCGGUGGCGAAGGCGGCCCCCUGGACGAAGACUGACGCUC